UAAUACGUAGGGGGCGAGCGUUGUCCGGAUUCAUUGGGCGUAAAGCGCGCGUAGGCGGCCCCGCAAGUCGGCCGUGAAAUCUCCGGGCUCAACUCGGAGGGGUCGGGCGAGACUGCGGGGCUCGAGGUGGGCAGAGGGCAGUGGAAUUCCGGGUGUAGUGGUGGAAUGCGUAGAGAUCCGGAGGAACACCAGUGGCGAAGGCGGCUGCCUGGGCCUGGCCUGACGCUGAGGCGCGAAAGCGUGGGGAGCAAUCCGGAUUAGAUACCCGGGUAGUCCACGCCGUAAACGAUGGGUACUAGGUGUCGGGGGUAUCGACCCCCUCGGUGCCGGCGCUAACGCAAUAAGUACCCCGCCUGGGGAGUACGGCCGCAAGGCUA
rnacentral:rRNA from 1 species